GCUUCCUAAAGGAAGAUAUCCUGGACUUCCCUGGUGGCAUAGUGGUUAAGAAUCUGCCUGCCAAUGCAGAGGACACGGGUUUGAUCCCUGGUCUGGGAAGAUCCCACAUGCCGUAGAGCAACAAAGCCCUUUCGCCACAACUACUGAGCUUGCAUUCUAGAGCCUGUGAGCCACAACUAGUGAGCCUGCGUUCCACAACUACCGAAGCCCGUGCGCCUAGAGCCCGUUCUCCACAACAAGAGAAGCCACCGCCAUGAGAAGCCCGUGCACCGCAAUGAAGAGUAGCCCCCGCUUGCCACAGCUAGAGAAAGCCCACACGCAGCGACAAGGACCCAAUGCCGCCAAAACAAAAACCAAAAAAAAGAUAUCCUGAGUCUGGAAGGGUUGAGGAGCCAGGGGAGAAGGGUGCGUGUGAAGGCCUUGGAGAAGGAUGGAGCAGAUGCCAGCAGACAUGGAAUGGCCUAGGUCCAAGAGCACGUGCGGAAAUCAGUAAAUCCAAUGGAAAAUUAAUGGCGGGACUUACCUGGUGGCACAAUGGUUAAGAAUCCGCCUGCCAAUGAAUAGGACAUGGGUUCAAGCCUUGGUCCGGGAAGAUCCCACAUGCCACGGAGCAGCUAAGCCCCUGUGUCACAACUACUGAACCUGUGCUCUAGAGCCCAUAAGCCACGACUACUGAGCCAGCGUGCGACAACUACUGAAGCCCACCCGCCUAGAGCCCGUGCUCUGCAACGAGAGAAGCCACCUCAAUGAGAAGCUCGCACACCGCAAGGAAGAGUAGUCCCCGCUCACUGCAACUAGAGAAAGCCCGCGUGCAGCAACAAAGA